GGGCCUGUAGCUCAGCUGGUUAGAGCAUCCGACUCAUAAUCGGCAGGUCGAAGGUUCGAGUCCUUCCAGGCCCACCA
rnacentral:tRNA from 3 species